CUUCAAUGAUGAUCACUUCAAGAAUUCUGCAAUUCCGACAAUCUCCAGGCUUCUGUGAGAUUGCGUGUUGACCUACUACACUUGACCUGAUU
rnacentral:snoRNA from 18 species